rnacentral:rRNA from 1 species
UACCAGCUCUCCGAGUGGUAGGGAUGAUUAUUGGGCUUAAAGCGUCCGUAGCCGGCUUAGCAAGUCUCCUGUUAAAUUCAGCGACCUAAUCGUUGAGCCGCGGGAGAUACUACUAGGCUAGGAGGCGGGAGAGGUCAACGGUACUUCCGGGGUAGGGGUGAAGUCCUAUAAUCCCGGGAGGGCCACCAGUGGCGAAGGCUGUUGACUAGAACGCGCUCGACGGUGAGGGACGAAAGCUGGGGGAGCGAACCGGAUUAGAUACCCGGGUAGUCCCAGCUGUAAACGAUGCGAGCUAGGUGUUGGGGUGGCUACGUGCCACUUCAGUGCCGCAGGGAAGCCAUUAAGCUCGCCGCCUGGGGAGUACGGCCGCAAGGCUGAAACUUAAAGGAAUUGGCGGGGGAGCACCACAAGGCGUGAAGCUUGCGGUUC